UCUCCCCACCUCUCAUGCUGGUAAGAGGACGGUAUGAUUAAAAAAUAAAGCUGCUAUUCAUCGCAAUAACACGAAGCUGAAAAUGCGUAUUUCUCACCACCUGGUUAGGGGAAAGCAGGGGCAGGACAGCAGCUCUCACACAAACCCUCCCGGCCCUUAGAAGCUGGGCAGAGGCUUUGCCCCUGCUGUGCCAGCAGCUCCCGGGAGGCGAAGCCCUGGCACAGCCGGUCACAGGCCGCUGCUCCAACACAGCCAUGCGGGGACACACGGCCUGGCCACCGCCUGCUUCCCAGGAACCAAAACCUUCCCUUCCAGCGCUGCUUUCUCCGUAUCUCUUGAGGCAUCUCUCCCACUUCAAGGAUUCAAAAGAAAGCCCAGGUAUUAUAGGCAUGAAUUUUAACAUGCAGACAUGCCAAACCAAACAUGAGAACAAACACAGACACUCAAGUAAACAGAGCCUGCACAGCAACAGUUCUGCAAAACAAACUGACGCCACGCAGGCCAAGUUACCCCUGGCAAGCCGUCCCCUCACACGCACCCGUUCAGAGAGCAGGCGAUGCCCAGGGGAGCAGGGCUCGGCCACCGGACUACACGUUCAAAGAGCCACCUUGCUGUGCAGAUGGAGAAGGGCAUUGGGACAAUCUGUCACGAAACUGUGCCCUUCCCAAAGCAGGAGAGAGGUAUUCUCCAUUCAGAAAUUUGGAUUUCCAUGUAAAAAUUCUGGAAUAUAUUUUGGUUGAAGAUAA